GAUGAACGCUGGCGGCGUGCUUAACACAUGCAAGUCGAACGAUGAUCCGGUGCUUGCACCGGGGAUUAGUGGCGAACGGGUGAGUAACACGUGAGUAACCUGCCCUUAACUCUGGGAUAAGCCUGGGAAACUGGGUCUAAUACCGGAUAUGACUCCUCAUCGCAUGGUGGGGGGUGGAAAGCUUUUUGUGGUUUUGGAUGGACUCGCGGCCUAUCAGCUUGUUGGUGAGGUAAUGGCUCACCAAGGCGACGACGGGUAGCCGGCCUGAGAGGGUGAACGGCCAAACGGGGACUGAGACACGGCCCAGACGCCUACGGGAGGCAGCAGUGGGGAAUAUUGCACGAUGGGCGAAAGCCUGAUGCAGCGACGCAGCGUGAGGGAUGACGGCCUUCGGGUUGUAAACCUCUUUCAGUAGGGAAGAAGCGAAAGUGACGGUACCUGCAGAAGAAGCGCCGGCUAACUACGUGCCAGCAGCCGCUGUAACAC
rnacentral:rRNA from 1 species